rnacentral:rRNA from 1 species
GGAAUAUUGGACAAUGGGCGCAAGCCUGAUCCAGCCAUGCCGCGUGAGUGAUGAAGGUCUUAGGAUUGUAAAGCUCUUUCACCGGUGAAGAUAAUGACGGUAACCGGAGAAGAAGCCCCGGCUAACUUCGUGCCAGCAGCCGCGGUAAUACGAAGGGGGCUAGCGUUGUUCGGAAUUACUGGGCGUAAAGCGCACGUAGGCGGAUAUUUAAGUCAGGGGUGAAAUCCCAGAGCUCAACUCUGGAACUGCCUUUGAUACUGGGUAUCUUGAGUAUGGAAGAGGUGAGUGGAAUUCCGAGUGUAGAGGUGAAAUUCGUAGAUAUUCGGAGGAACACCAGUGGCGAAGGCGGCUCACUGGUCCAUUACUGACGCUGAGGUGCGAAAGCGUGGGGAGCAAACAGGAUUAGAUACCCGGG